GAUGAACGCUGGCGGCGUGCUUAACACAUGCAAGUCGAACGGAAAGGCCCAAGCUUGCUUGGGUACUCGAGUGGCGAACGGGUGAGUAACACGUGGGUGAUCUGCCCUGCACUUCGGGAUAAGCCUGGGAAACUGGGUCUAAUACCAGAUAGGACCGCAUUUUGGAUGGUGUGGUGGAAAGUUUUUCGGUGUGGGAUGAGCUCGCGGCCUAUCAGCUUGUUGGUGGGGUAAUGGCCUACCAAGGCGUCGACGGGUAGCCGGCCUGAGAGGGUGUACGGCCACAUUGGGACUGAGAUACGGCCCAGACUCCUACGGGAGGCAGCAGUGGGGAAUAUUGCACAAUGGGCGCAAGCCUGAUGCAGCGACGCCGCGUGGGGGAUGACGGCCUUCGGGUUGUAAACUCCUUUCGCUAGGGACGAAGCGUUAUGUGACGGUACCUGGAGAAGAAGCACCGGCUAACUACGUG
rnacentral:rRNA from 1 species